rnacentral:tRNA from 1 species
GGAAGGGCCGAAUGGUGGUUAGUGCAUCCCGACUUUUAGUCGGGAGGGUCGCUGGUUCGAUCCCAGCAGGGUCCA